rnacentral:rRNA from 1 species
UAGGGAAUCUUCCACAAUGGGCGAAAGCCUGAUGGAGCAACGCCGCGUGUGUGAUGAAGGGUUUCGGCUCGUAAAACACUGUUGUAAGAGAAGAAUGACAUUGAGAGUAACUGUUCAAUGUGUGACGGUAUCUUACCAGAAAGGAACGGCUAAAUACGUUCCAG